rnacentral:lncRNA from 1 species
CCGAGACCAGAAGGCUGCCGAGCUCAAAAGGCCGAGCUCCGCAGGCCGAGACCAGAAGGCUGCCGAGCUCAGAAGGCUGCCGAGCUCAGAAGGCCGAGCACAGAAGGCCGAGCUGACCUCAGAAGGCCGACCUCGUCGUCUAUAUGCUGCGGCCAUGCCCUGCAGCAGCCUUACCGCACCAUGCUUUACUUGCCGGCCACGCCACGACAUAUCAAUCAGGGACCAUACCCUGCUACGACUGUCAACGCCUCACCAUUCCCAAGAAUGUACUGCACUGCGCGCCACAAGCAAGCUCUGGCUACACGCCAUCUCCUCCCAUGAUGGGAACGGGCCAUCCACGGCAACUCAUUACUUCACACGCCCACGUCCAAUCGUGACGGUAACCCAUUAAUUCGCCCAGUCACAUCACAGGUAACCCUGCCACUCUCCCUAUAAAAGGGGAGCUUCUCCCUCUAAAAAGGGGGCUGGAGGCUUCUUCCUCCCAAGGGA